rnacentral:rRNA from 1 species
GCAAGUCGAACGAGAACGGAUAUUAGUUUACUAAUAUUGUCAGCUAAGUGGCGCACGGGUGAGUAAUAUAUAGGUAACGUGCCUUCAAGAGGGGGAUAACAGUUGGAAACGGCUGCUAAUACCCUAUAUGCCUUUAUGACAUAAGUCAGCAAGGGAAAUAUUUAUAGCUUGAAGAUCGGCCUGUACGGUAUCAGUUAGUUGGUGAGGUAAUGGCUCACCAAGACAAUGACACCUAACUGGUUUGAGAGGAUGAUC